rnacentral:rRNA from 1 species
GGCUUACUUCGUUGCAGCGGGCGGGGUAAGAGGUAGGGUGCGAGCUUUAUACGUAGUUAUUUGGUUUAAAGGGUGCGGAUGCGGCCUUAUAAGUCAGUGGUGAAAUCCUAUCGCUUAACGAUAGACGUGCCAUUGAUACUGUAGGGCGUGAGUACAGAUGACGUUGGCGGAAUGUGUCAUGUAGCGGUGAAAUGCAUAGAUAUGACACAGAACACCGAUUGCGAAGGCAGCUGACGAAACUGUAACUGACGCUGAUGCACGAAAGCGUGGGGAUCAAACAGGAUUAGAUACCCGGUAGUC